UGGGGAAUCUUCCGCAAUGGACGAAAGUCUGACGGAGCAACGCCGCGUGAGUGAAGAAGGUUUUCGGAUCGUAAAACUCUGUCUUUUGGGGCGAACGUGAGUAUGGUGAACAUCAUAUCAGUGACGGUACCAAAGGAGGAAGCCACGGCUAACUACGUGCCAGCAGCCGCGGUAAUACGUAGGUGGCAAGCGUUGUCCGGAAUUAUUGGGCGUAAAGAGCGCGUAGGCGGGAUAGUCAGUCUGUUGUAAAAGUGCGGGGCUCAACCCCGUGAUCGCAAUGGAAACAGCUAUUCUUGAGUGCAGGAGAGGAAAGUGGAAUUCCCAGUGUAGCGGUGAAAUGCGUAGAUAUUGGGAGGAACACCAGUGGCGAAGGCGACUUUCUGGACUGUGUCUGACGCUGAGGCGCGAAAGCCAGGGGAGCGAACGGGAUUAGAUACCCCGGUAGUCCUGGCCGUAAACGAUGGGUACUAGGUGUGGGAGGUAUCGACCCCUUCCGUGCCGGAGUUAACGCAAUAAGUACCCCGCCUGGGGAGUACGGUCGCAAGACUGAAACUAAAGAAUUGACGGGGUCAUAGCUGUUUCCUG
rnacentral:rRNA from 1 species